AAAUUGAAGAGUUUGAUCAUGGCUCAGAUUGAACGCUGGCGGCAGGCCUAACACAUGCAAGUCGAGCGGUAGCACAGAGAGCUUGCUCUCGGGUGACGAGCGGCGGACGGGUGAGUAAUGUCUGGGAAACUGCCUGAUGGAGGGGGAUAACUACUGGAAACGGUAGCUAAUACCGCAUAAUGUCGCAAGACCAAAGUGGGGGACCUUCGGGCCUCAUGCCAUCAGAUGUGCCCAGAUGGGAUUAGCUAGUAGGUGGGGUAAUGGCUCACCUAGGCGACGAUCCCUAGCUGGUCUGAGAGGAUGACCAGCCACACUGGAACUGAGACACGGUCCAGACUCCUACGGGAGGCAGCAGUGGGGAAUAUUGCACAAUGGGCGCAAGCCUGAUGCAGCCAUGCCGCGUGUGUGAAGAAGGCCUUCGGGUUGUAAAGCACUUUCAGCGGGGAGGAAGGCGUUAAGGUUAAUAACCUUGGCGAUUGACGUUACCCGCAGAAGAAGCACCGGCUAACUCCGUGCCAGCAGCCGCGGUAAUACGGAGGGUGCAAGCGUUAAUCGGAAUUACUGGGCGUAAAGCGCACGCAGGCGGUCUGUCAAGUCGGAUGUGAAAUCCCCGGGCUCAACCUGGGAACUGCAUUCGAAACUGGCAGGCUAGAGUCUUGUAGAGGGGGUAGAAUUCCAGGUGUAGCGGUGAAAUGCGUAGAGAUCUGGAGGAAUACCGGUGGCGAAGGCGGCCCCCUGGACAAAGACUGACGCUCAGGUGCGAAAGCGUGGGGAGCAAACAGGAUUAGAUACCCUGGUAGUCCACGCCGUAAACGAUGUCGAUUUGGAGGUUGUGCCCUUGAGGCGUGGCUUCCGGAGCUAACGCGUUAAAUCGACCGCCUGGGGAGUACGGCCGCAAGGUUAAAACUCAAAUGAAUUGACGGGGGCCCGCACAAGCGGUGGAGCAUGUGGUUUAAUUCGAUGCAACGCGAAGAACCUUACCUGGUCUUGACAUCCACAGAACUUAGCAGAGAUGCUUUGGUGCCUUCGGGAACUGUGAGACAGGUGCUGCAUGGCUGUCGUCAGCUCGUGUUGUGAAAUGUUGGGUUAAGUCCCGCAACGAGCGCAACCCUUAUCCUUUGUUGCCAGCGGUUAGGCCGGGAACUCAAAGGAGACUGCCAGUGAUAAACUGGAGGAAGGUGGGGAUGACGUCAAGUCAUCAUGGCCCUUACGACCAGGGCUACACACGUGCUACAAUGGCAUAUACAAAGAGAAGCGACCUCGCGAGAGCAAGCGGACCUCAUAAAGUAUGUCGUAGUCCGGAUUGGAGUCUGCAACUCGACUCCAUGAAGUCGGAAUCGCUAGUAAUCGUAGAUCAGAAUGCUACGGUGAAUACGUUCCCGGGCCUUGUACACACCGCCCGUCACACCAUGGGAGUGGGUUGCAAAAGAAGUAGGUAGCUUAACCUUCGGGAGGGCGCUUACCACUUUGUGAUUCAUGACUGGGGUGAAGUCGUAACAAGGUAACCGUAGGGGAACCUGCGGUUGGAUCACCUCCUUA
rnacentral:rRNA from 1 species